GUACACCCAGUCUUCCAUGUUUCACAGCUAAAGGGACAUGUUCCAGAUCACACCCCAGUGUUCACCUCUUUACCAGUACCUGUGGAUCUAUCAGUACCAGGUGUGGUGCCGGAGGAAAUUCUUGAUCGGCGGCUGGUGAAGAAGAAGAACACAGCCCAUUUACAGAUCUUGGUGAAAUGGGCGACACUUCCUGCUGCAUCAGCAACCUGGGAGGAUUACGACAUCCUCAAGUUGAAGUUUCCAAGUGCACCAGUUUGGGGACAAGCUGGUUCUUCAAGGGAGGGUACUGUAAGUAGUACAGAGCAGGCGAUCGUGAGGACCAAGUCUUCGGGCGGGAGAAAGCAGAGUUAA
rnacentral:rRNA from 1 species